rnacentral:rRNA from 1 species
GACAAACGCUGGCGGCGUGCCUAAUACAUGCAAGUCGAACGCUUCUUUCCUCCCGAGUGCUUGCACUCAAUUGGAAAGAGGAGUGGCGGACGGGUGAGUAACACGUGGGUAACCUACCCAUCAGAGGGGGAUAACACUUGGAAACAGGUGCUAAUACCGCAUAACAGUUUAUGCCGCAUGGCAUAAGAGUGAAAGGCGCUUUCGGGUGUCGCUGAUGGAUGGACCCGCGGUGCAUUAGCUAGUUGGUGAGGUAACGGCUCACCAAGGCCACGAUGCAUAGCCGACCUGAGAGGGUGAUCGGCCACACUGGGACUGAGACACGGCUCAGACUCCUACGGGAGGCAGCAGUAGGGAAUCUUCGGCAAUGGACGAAAGUCUGACCGAGCAACGCCGCGUGAGUGAAGAAGGUUUUCGGAUCGUAAAACUCUGUUGUUAGAGAAGAGCAAGGACGUUAGUAACUGAACGUCCCCUGACGGUAUCUAACCAGAAAGCCACGGCUAACUACGUG